rnacentral:rRNA from 1 species
GACGAACCGUGCAAACGUUAUUCGGAAUCACUGGGCAUAAAGGGCGCGUAGGCGGCUCCAAAAGUCAGGGGUGAAAUCCGGCAGCUUAACUGUCGCAGUGCCUUUGAUACUGUGGAGCUAGAGGGAGGUAGGGGUCUGUGGAACUUCCGGUGGAGCGGUGAAAUGCGUAGAUAUCUGAAGGAACACCAGUGGCGAAAGCGGCUUCCUGGUCCAGUACCGACGUUCAGGCACGAAAGCGUGGGGAGCAAACAGG